rnacentral:lncRNA from 7 species
CUGCAUAAUAAUAUAGUUAUAAAAUCAUAACUUUUACAUAUGAAAUCGGAUGAAGAUAAAAUUUAUAUGAAAAUUGUAGAGCUCGAAGAGAUCUAUAACUUUGUAGUACAACACAUUUUUGUUUAAACAUAUCUUUAGGCCAAAAUCAUUGAAAUAAUGUCUAAAUUUAUAUCAAAAUAAUAGAUUUUAACAUUUUCAUGUGGGGACUUAAGAUUAUCUCCAUGUGGGAACUUAGAAUUAUCUUUUUAUAAACUAUUUAUUAAUAUUGGUAACUUAUUCGCAAUUUUCGGUCGACACUACAAUAUUUUUAUGAAUUUAAUUGUAUUUUGAUGAUUUUCUACAACAAUAAAUUAAUAAUACACCAAAUAGCCUAAAAAUUCAUGAAUUUUUACGGGGACACAACAUAUAUUCACAUAUAGUUCUCAAAAACAUUUGGAUUAUAAAAUCCACAAGAUGUUGGUGUUUCUUCCAUUCCACUCCCACUUAUUGCGUGAGUUAUACGUGAAAUCAUUUUAUGUAUCGACGUUUCAACAUAAUUAAUAUUUCACUUAUCAUUUUCAUGUGGCGACUUGAGGUUUUAUUUGAAUAGAAUGUUUAUUUGUUUUGAUAAGCUUUUUGCAAUUUUGGGUCAAAACUAGUGUAUUUAUGAAUUUUAAUUAUAUUUUGAUGAUUUUAUGUAGAAAGAAAUUAAUAAUGUACAAAUAGCCUCAGAAAUCUAUGAAAUUAUACGAAG